UGCUGGGACUUAAGUGGGGUGGGUCCUAUGGAAGAGCAGCAGCUGUGCUUGACUGCUGAGCCAUCGCUGUAGCCAGCCCUGAUGGUUUUGUGUAUAGUAACAAAAACUUGAAACAACCUAAAUGGUGAUCAAUGGAAAAACAGAUGGCACGUACAUGGCAAUCUUCUGGUUCAAAGGCAAAUUACCUGGAAACUUGUAAAAAUACCAGUAUGAAUGUUUGAACCCAUCUCCCCGGUUGGCAGCAUUUACCUGGCCAUCUUUUAAGAGUCUUGCUGGGGGCUGGAGAGAUGGCUCAGUGGUUGAGAGCACCGACUGUUCUUCCAGAGGUCCUGAGUUCAAUUCCCAGCAACCACAUGGUGGCUCACAGCCAUCUGUAAAGAGAUCUGAUGCCCUCUUCUGAUGUGUCUGAAGACAGCUACAGUGUACUCAUAUAUAAUAAAUGAAUAAAUCUUAAAAAAAAAAA